CUAUAGCUUAAUGGUAAAGCGCUGCUUUGUGGAGGCAGUAAUGAGGGUUCAAUUCCCUCUAG
rnacentral:tRNA from 1 species